GUACCAUUUAGUGUUCAUCUACCACUGGAAUCACAAGGCAAGCGGUGCCCCAGCAUCUGGUUUUAAUGUACUCAAGCAAACAUGUGGCUCUAAUCUUUUUGUUGAUGAGGAUAUCUACCAUCUGCCAGGAGGCCAAAGCCAGCUGGUGGAUACAAUGCCUGGCUGAAGAUGGGGCUAAUUCCUCAGGAUCCUGGCAUCAUAAGCAAAGCCUGCACAUCCCACAAAAAUUUGAAGAACAACAUCACUCAUCUGCAGGCUGAGAUCAGACAGAAGGACAAGUUCAUCCUAGAGUUCUCCUCUGGCUGCGAUAUCUGGGACAGUAUUGGAUAAUGACACCACUAUUCCUUGGUUCUGCUCAAGAGCUGCAGCUCACAGGCAACUAGUAAACUACCUGAAGAUGUGUGGAUCAUCCUGGGAGCUAAACUCAAAGUCCUGGCCAGUUCCACAGCUUGUCAUGAGCCUACUGAAGGCUGGUCUGUUAUUGGUGGGGGUAAACACGUUGGCAAGCGAUCUUAUCACUCUCAUCCUGAGGAGAUUACACUGAAAAUAAAUACAUCCUGGAUGUACAAGAUUUCCCUCCAUUGCCCUGUCAGUCCCAUGCAUCAGCAACGGUAAUACCUACUGCUCAAUCCCCUGCUCCAAGUCAACCCACUCCAGUUGUGCAUCGGCAUCCAGGGCAAACAACAGGUUUCUCUCUGUUGCUUCUGCACUACACUCACUUGGAGGUCUCCAGCUGAUCUUAUUUGCUAUCAUUUAUCGCCUCCCAAAACCUACUGGCGGCUUUUUAGCAGAACUCCCUGAAUUUUUAUCUGUUCUUGUUUUAAAUUAUGAAUAUUUCUUUGUGGCUGUAUAUCCAUGUUGAUGACUCUACUAAUGUCCAUUCUACUGAUUUUUUAAAGCAUUGCUAUCAUACAGUGGAUCAUUUAUUUAACCUGGGUGUAAAUAUAUCUUCUCUGGAAUUACUGGUUAUGAGUCUAAUCACAAAUGUAUAAUUUUUAACU